rnacentral:tRNA from 1 species
UGGAGAGGUGGCCGAGAGGCUGAAGGCGUCGGUCUCGAAAACCGAUUUGGCGCUUGCGUCAACGUGGGUUCGAAUCCCACCCUCUCCGU